GACUCGCUUCAGUCCUUGAUAAACUUUUAAUCCGGCACCUACUCAGUUCCAUAGAAAUAACUCCGAUUCCCCGAUACAACCUACCUACAACACCCAUGCAACGACUUUGUUUGAAGUGGUACAUCGGUACAAGUAAUACAUAGUUCGGCUUUCCGCUGCACCACUUUCAUUUCGCGGGGUGAUCAUUAGUGCUCUACGUCGCGGUAGGUGUGUCUUUGAACUGAAGAUUUGUGAUAGAAUCUUUUUCAGACUAUACGGAUGCGAACAUUUAAUACCCGGAACCUGCGGAAUCCUAGUUGAGUGUUCUCCGCAAAACUCGUUUCAACUUCACAGCGAAUUAUGCUCACGCGUGACGAGUGCACACGUAUAUAGUUGUUGUGUAUUAUUCUCAUCGUUGUUAUCAUUAUUAUAAUAAUUAUUAUUAUUAUCACUGUUAUUUAUGAUGUGGGAAUUGCUCCGAUGCUGUACAAGAGGAUACGCCACGAAUGAGUGAACAAUUCAUUUCGACGGUUGAUUUUAGGAGCAAUCGGAAAUAGGACAUUGAAACGCGAUCGUUGAAAUCCAUUUGGUGCAAAUAUAGAUCCGGUUCGCGAUGCCGACAACGAGAGUGCGGAUAAGGUUGAUUUCGAAACUGUUAAUUUUCUUCAUCCUUCAUGCAUACGGUAACUGCGCGACUCGUGGUUUCAGCAGGGAUUUUAUCUACUUUCCCGAUCAAACCGAGUACAUCAGAGCUUCCGCAAGAUGUCCCAACGACCUUUUGUACUGGCCUGUUAACGGUCGGUGUUACAAAGAAGGUCAACAAGGGCCCUGCAAUAUUGGUCGCGUUCUGCAUUUCAACCAACGGGAAUACAGACCCUACUGUCAGGAGGAGCGAAGUCCUUCGACCUUCCCUCCUUGCCUACAGCAUAAUUGCUUCGAUAGACGAAUUCUCCGGCAACGGUAGGUGGCGGCAACGUUCGUAGCCGUAGUUGAAGACAAAAAAAAAAAAAAAAAAAUUCGAGCCUCGCUAUAAGACUUCGCAAUUGACGCGAGCGAAUGAAUUGUCACUUUUUAAUAACAAUUGAUGUUAUUCACGGCGCAACUUUUUUUCAUUUCUUCAUCGGCUAGGUAAACCUACAUGAAGAACGAAAUGAUAACGAAUAAGAGAAUCAAUAAAUAAAUGCAUACAGAGA